rnacentral:rRNA from 1 species
GUGCACCUGUCCACACUUAUUAAACGACUCUCGGCAACGGAUAUCUCGGCUCUCGCAUCGAUGAAGAACGUAGCGAAAUGCGACACUUGGUGUGCAAUCGCCGCAAUCCCGUGAACCAUYGAGUCUUUGAACGCAAGUUGCGCCCGAAGCCUCGGGC